rnacentral:rRNA from 1 species
CAGUCGCCGCGGUAAUACGUAGGGUGCGAGCGUUAAUCGGAAUUACUGGGCGUAAAGCGUGCGCAGGCGGUUGUGUAAGACAGGUGUGAAAUCCCCGGGCUUAACCUGGGAACUGCGCUUGUGACUGCACAGCUAGAGUAUGGCAGAGGGGGGUGGAAUUCCACGUGUAGCAGUGAAAUGCGUAGAGAUGUGGAGGAACACCGACGGCGAAGGCAGCCCCCUGGGCCAAUACUGACGCUCAUGCACGAAAGCGUGGGGAGCAAACAGGAUUAGAGACCCCUGUAGUCCCUGUCUCUUAUAC